rnacentral:rRNA from 1 species
GGGAACUGAAACAUCUAAGUACCCGGAGGAAAGGAAAUCAACAGAUACUCCCCCUAGUAGUGGCGAGCGAACGGGGACCAGCCGAGCCGUGAGAAUGACCAGAAUGUGCUGGAAAGCACAGCCAGAGUGGGUGACAGCCCCGUAUGGGAAGUUUGAUCGGACGUAUUAAGUAGGGCGGGACACGUGAAAUCCUGUCUGAAGAUCGGGGGACCACCCUCGAAGGCUAAGUACUCCUUACUGACCGAUAGCGAACCAGUACCGUGAGGGAAAGGUGAAAAGCACCCCGACGAGGGGAGUGAAACAGUUUCUGAAACCGGACGCCUACAAGCAGUCGGAGCCUCCUUGAGAGGUGACGGCGUACCUUUUGUAUAAUGGGUCAACGACUUGGUCUGUCUAGCAAGCUUAAGCCGUUAGGUGUAGGCGCAGCGAAAGCGAGUCUUAAAUGGGCGACUUAGUUAGACGGAUCAGACCCGAAACCAGAUGAUCUAGGCAUGAGCAGGAUGAAGGUU